GGCUGCUGGGAUAGCUCAGUUGAUAGGAGCAUGAGACUCUUAACCUCAGGGUUGUGGGUUUGAGCCCCACAACGGGCA